UACGGGGGGGGGUAAGCGUUGUUCGGAAUUACUGGGCGUAAAGGGCUCGUAGGCGGCCAACUAAGUCAUACGUGAAAUCCCUCAGCUUAACUGGGGAACUGCGUGUGAUACUGGAUGGCUUGGAUUUGGGAGAGGGAUGCGGAAUUCCAGGUGUAGCGGUGAAAUGCGUAGAUAUCUGGAGGAACACCGGUGGCGAAGGCGGCAUCCUGGACCAAUAUUGACGCUGAGGGAGACGAAAGCCAGGGGAGCAAAGCGGG
rnacentral:rRNA from 1 species